rnacentral:lncRNA from 1 species
GAACGAUGUAAUUCCAUCCCCAGGCUGAAACACAUUAGCGCGUUUGGCAAGUGCUCUAUCAGAGGGCCAUCAGACUGAGGCUCGUGCAUGAGGGGAUAGCAUGCUUUUACUUUCACUCUCUUUGUAUUAAAAAACGAUUUCCCGGUCGGAAUAUUAUCGCUUUUUUAUGAGAAAAAUGGCAUAAAAAUUGAUUUUAAACAGCGGUUGACAUGCUUCGAAGUACGGUAAUGGAAUAUUUAGAAUUUUUUUGUCACGAAACGCGUCGUGCUCGUCACCCUUAUUUACCCUUUCGGAUAGUGUCUUGAACGCACGAACAAAACGCCGCUGUUUGGAUAUAACUAUGGAUUAUUUGGGACCAAACCAACAUUUGUUAUUGAAGUAGAAGUCCUGGGAGUGCAUUCUGACGAAGAACAGCAAAGGAUCUGCAGUCCUGGUGCCAGAGGCCCCCAGUAAACCUCCAACAGAAGCUCCAGGUUGUCCAUUACAGGAGUGGUUAAGAUGGUAGCGGGGUUAACAGGCCGUGGCUGAGGUCCUUGAUGAUCUUCCUGUCCUUCCUGUGAGACUGGGUGCUGUAGAUAUCCUGGAGGGCAGGCAGAAAUCCCCCGGUGAUGCCUUGGGCUGACCGCACCACCCGCAAGCCCUGCGAUUGUGAACGGUGCAAUUGCCGUACCAGGCGGUGAUACAACCCAGCAGAAUGCUCUUAAUAGUGAAUCUGUAGAGGUUUGUGAAGGUCUUAGGGGCCUAGCUGAAUUUCUUCAGCCUCCUGAGGUCCUCUUAUAGAGUCUCAGUGUUGUCAUUCUGGUACAUAAAAACAACACAUUUUCAACCCUCAUAUGACUUUACAAGUUUAGUUUGUUUUGUUUCCUUAACUCUGUGAGAACCACCAUAACAUAAGCAAAAUGGCCACGGGGUUCGAUCCCACUGCUUCUGUU